rnacentral:rRNA from 1 species
CUACGAAGAACAGCAAUGUUCCUUCCGCAGAGUACACUUGCAGAAGCCUUAGUGGCCCGAAAGGGUUUCAUCAGCGACUCUAAACAAGUAGGUGGAUUAAACGCUAGUCUCUCUGGAAGAGGCGACACUAUCAAAUUGCGGGAAGAUCCUGUCAGGUCCACAUCACCGCGGCUCACCGAAAGGUGUAGUGCAGCACCAGGCUAACAACCUUGGGUAUGGUAAUAGUAUGUGGAAUAGGGAGAAUCUGCAGCCAAGCCCCUCUCUUGGGGUGCAGUUCACAGGCCAAAUGGUAGUGGGCACUCUGGUGCUUAAGAUAUGGUCGAGUCCCAAUUGAAAAAUUGGGUACAAGUACUCUGAUUGAUUACAUACAGUCUAUGCUCAGUCGAAUACAGCUAGUUGUAAAUGCAAAUGUUCCGUAGGUGAACCUGC